rnacentral:tRNA from 1 species
GGUAGCGUGGCCGAGCGGCCUAAGGCGCUGGUUUUAGGCACCAGUCAUUUCGAUGGCGUGGGUUCGAAUCCCACCGCUGCCA